AUGAACGCUAGCUACAGGCUUAACACAUGCAAGUCGAGGGGCAGCAUCAUCAAAGCUUGCUUUGAUGGAUGGCGACCGGCGCACGGGUGAGUAACACGUAUCCAACCUGCCGACAACACUGGGAUAGCCUUUCGAAAGAAAGAUUAAUACCGGAUGGCAUAGUUUUCCCGCAUGGGAUAAUUAUUAAAGAAUUUCGGUUGUCGAUGGGGAUGCGUUCCAUUAGGCAGUUGGCGGGGUAACGGCCCACCAAACCGACGAUGGAUAGGGGUUCUGAGAGGAAGGUCCCCCACAUUGGAACUGAGACACGGUCCAAACUCCUACGGGAGGCAGCAGUGAGGAAUAUUGGUCAAUGGACGAGAGUCUGAACCAGCCAAGUAGCGUGAAGGAUGACUGCCCUAUGGGUUGUAAACUUCUUUUAUACGGGAAUAAAGUUAGCCACGUGUGGCUUUUUGUAUGUACCGUAUGAAUAAGGAUCGGCUAACUCCGUGCCAGCAGCCGCGGUAAUACGGAGGAUCCGAGCGUUAUCCGGAUUUAUUGGGUUUAAAGGGAGCGUAGGCGGGUUGUUAAGUCAGUUGUGAAAGUUUGCGGCUCAACCGUAAAAUUGCAGUUGAUACUGGCGACCUUGAGUGCAACAGAGGUAGGCGGAAUUCGUGGUGUAGCGGUGAAAUGCUUAGAUAUCACGAAGAACUCCGAUUGCGAAGGCAGCUUACUGGAUUGUAACUGACGCUGAUGCUCGAAAGUGUGGGUAUCAAACAGGAUUAGAUACCCUGGUAGUCCACACAGUAAACGAUGAAUACUCGCUGUUGGCGAUAUACAGUCAGCGGCCAAGCGAAAGCAUUAAGUAUUCCACCUGGGGAGUACGCCGGCAACGGUGAAACUCAAAGGAAUUGACGGGGGCCCGCACAAGCGGAGGAACAUGUGGUUUAAUUCGAUGAUACGCGAGGAACCUUACCCGGGCUUAAAUUGCAACUGACUGAACCGGAAACGGUUCUUUCUUCGGACAGUUGUGAAGGUGCUGCAUGGUUGUCGUCAGCUCGUGCCGUGAGGUGUCGGCUUAAGUGCCAUAACGAGCGCAACCCUUAUCGAUAGUUACUAGCAGGUCAUGCUGAGGACUCUAUUGAGACUGCCGUCGUAAGAUGUGAGGAAGGUGGGGAUGACGUCAAAUCAGCACGGCCCUUACGUCCGGGGCUACACACGUGUUACAAUGGGGGGUACAGAAGGCAGCUACACGGCGACGUGGUGCUAAUCCCGAAAGCCUCUCUCAGUUCGGAUUGGAGUCUGCAACCCGACUCCAUGAAGCUGGAUUCGCUAGUAAUCGCGCAUCAGCCACGGCGCGGUGAAUACGUUCCCGGGCCUUGUACACACCGCCCGUCAAGCCAUGAAAGCCGGGGGUACCUGAAGUACGUAACCGCAAGGAGCGUCCUAGGGUAAAACUGG
rnacentral:rRNA from 1 species